rnacentral:tmRNA from 1 species
GGGGGUGACAGGUCUCGACUCCGGACGUCGAGGCAGGGGAAGCGGGCCGAGGAAGCCGACGAUGAUCUCGUUAACCAACAACGUCGGACAACACACAAGCGCCGACAACAGUCGCCGCGGCACCGCUGCUUACGCCCUCGCGGCCUAGGUAGCGUGCCUGUCAGCCUGAGAGUGCCUCCGGCUCAGGACCUGGCAUCGACAGGAGGACCACUCUCCGCCCCGGCCACGGGGGUGGGGAGUGAACCCACAGUGGCUGAGCCUGUUCCCGGCUCGCUCGCGUGACCGGGAGGGCUGAGAAAAGCACAGCGAGCUGCGCCCGGAGAAGCCCUGUUGCGGUGCCGGAGGACGCGGGUUCGAUUCCCGCCACCUCCACCA